rnacentral:rRNA from 1 species
UACGUAGGGUGCGAGCGUUGUCCGGAAUUAUUGGGCGUCAAGAGCUCGUAGGCGGUCUGUCGCGUCUGCUGUGAAAUCCCGAGGCUCAACCUCGGGCUUGCAGUGGGUACGGGCAGGCUAGAGUGCGGUAGGGGAGAAUGGAACUCCUGGUGUAGCGGUGGAAUGCGCAGACAUCAGGAAGAACACCGAUGGCGAAGGCAGUUCUCUGGGCCGUAACUGACGCUGAGGAGCGAAAGCGUGGGGAGCGAACAGG